CCAUGCCGCGUGCAGGAAGACAGCUUUNUGAGUUGUAAACUGUUUUUAUAUAGGAACAAAUAGGCCAUGCGUGGCAAGUUGCGUGUACUAUAUGAAUAAGCACCGGCUAACUCCGUGCCAGCAGCCGCGGUAAUACGGAGGGUGCAAGCGUUGUCCGGAUUUAUUGGGUUUAAAGGGUGCGUAGGUGGCGUGUUAAGUCAGUGGUGAAAUCCUGCAGCUCAACNGUAGAUGUGCCAUUGAUACUGCCUUGCUUGAGUAUGGACGAGGUAGGCGGAAUUUGUGGUGUAGCGGUGAAAUGCAUAGAUACCACAAAGAACACCGAUAGCGAAGGCAGCUUACUGGACCAUAACUGACACUGAGGCACGAAAGCGUGGGGAGCGAACAGGAUUAGAUACCCUGGUAGUCCACGCCGUAAACGAUGCUCACUCGAUGUAUGCGAUAUAUUGUAUGCGUCCAAGCGAAAGC
rnacentral:rRNA from 1 species